UUUGAUGCUAUGAUCAGGAAGAGUAGAAUGAACACCCUUUAGUAGAGAGGAAACGGUAGCUGAAAAGUUUCCAAAGCGGCCCAUUUGAACGUAGCCUGGGAGCAGCCUUUAUGAAAUGAUAGUAGUAAAGUGCCGGUUAAACACCGUUAACGAAUGAAGAGCCAAAAUGGAAAAGCAUGCGAACGCUUGACAGAUGAACGGCGCAAAAGAAAGCGUUUGUCAGUCAAGGAACAACGAAAUGAGGCAGCCGGAGUGAACAUACAGUUCAUGAGGAUUGCUGAGUGAGGAGUGACGCAGAAUGCGAACACUUGACAGAUGAACGGCGCAAAAGAAAGCGUUUGUCAGUCAAGGAACGACGAAAUGAGGCAACCGGAGUGAACAUACAGUUCAUGAGGAUUGCUGAGUGAGGAGUGACGCAGAAUGCGAACGCUUGACUUGUGCCGUUUUGGAAUUAAAGGUGGUACCGCGAACUAACUCCCUCGUCCUUUUA
rnacentral:ncRNA from 1 species